GGUUCGACUCCGGAGAGGGAGCCUGAGAAAUGGCUACCACAUCCAAGGAUGGCAGCAGGCGCGCAAAUUACCCACUCUCAGUACGAGGAGGUAGUGACGAAAAAUAACAAUGCGGGACUCAUCAGAGGCCUCGCAAUUGGAAUGAGCGCACUUUAAAUCGUUCGACGAGGAUCUAUUGGAGGGCAAGUCUGGUGCCAGCAGCCGCGGUAAUUCCAGCUCCAAUAGCGUAUAUUAAAGUUGUUGCAGUUAAAAAGCUCGUAGUUGGAUCUGGGGUUCGGGUCGGCGGUUUGCCGCUUCGGCGGCUACUGCCGUGCUCGACUCUUACUAGCCGGUGCGUCUUGCGGUGCUCUUCAUCGAGUGCCGUAGGAGCCUGGCAUGUUUACUUUGAAAAAAUUAGAGUGCUCAAAGCAGGCGAUUCCGCCUGAAUAGUGUUGCAUGGAAUAAUGGAAUAGGACCUCGGUUCUAUUUUGUUGGUUUUCGGAACUUGAGGUAAUGAUUAAGAGGGACGGUCGGGGGCAUUCGUAUUUCGGUGUUAGAGGUGAAAUUCUUGGAUCGCUGAAAGACGGACAAAUGCGAAAGCAUCUGCCAAGAACGUCUCCAUUAAUCAAGAACGAAAGUCAGAGGUUCGAAGACGAUCAGACACCGUCCUAGUUCUGACCAUAAACGAUGCCAACUAGCGAUCCGCAGUGGUUGCUAUAAACGGACUCUGCGAGCAGCUUCCGGGAAACCAAAGUGUUUGGGUUCCGGGGGAAGUAUGGUUGCAAAGCUGAAACUUAAAGGAAUUGACGGAAGGGCACCACCAGGAGUGGAGCCUGCGGCUUAAUUUGACUCAACACGGGGAAACUCACCCGGUCCGGACACUGUAAGGAUUGACAGAUCGAGAGCUCUUUCUUGAUUCGGUGGAUGGUGGUGCAUGGCCGUUCUUAGUUGGUGGAGUGAUUUGUCUGGUUAAUUCCGAUAACGAACGAGACUCUAGCCUGCUAACUAGUUGCGCCGUGUUCAUACGCGGCUGUAGACUUCUUAGAGGGACAGGUGGCGUUUAGCCACACGAAAUUGAGCAAUAACAGGUCUGUGAUGCCCUUAGAUGUCCGGGGCCGCACGCGCGCUACACUGAAGGAGUCAGCGUGUGCUAUCCGGGCUCGGAAGAGUUCGGUAACCCGUUGAAACUCCUUCGUGCUUGGGAUUGUGGCUUGUAAUUAUCGCGCAUGAACGAGGAAUUCCCAGUAAGUGCAAGUCAUCAGCUUGCGCUGACUACGUCCCUGCCCUUUGUACACACCGCUCGUCGCUACUACCGAUUGAAUGGUUAGCAAGGUACUCGGAUUGGUCUCGAUCUUGUACGAAAGUGCGGGAUCUGUGGCCGAGAAGAAGGCCAAACUUGAUCAUUUAGAGGAAGUAAAAGUCGUAACAAGGUU
rnacentral:rRNA from 1 species